rnacentral:rRNA from 1 species
UACGGAAGGCAGCAGUGGGGAAUAUUGCACAAUGGGCGCAAGCCUGAUGCAGCCAUGCCGCGUGUAUGAAGAAGGCCUUCGGGUUGUAAAGUACUUUCAGUCGUGAGGAAGGUGUUAAGGUUAAUAACCUUAGCAAUUGACGUUAGCGACAGAAGAAGCACCGGCUAACUCCGUGCCAGCAGCCGCGGUAAUACGGAGGGUGCGAGCGUUAAUCGGAAUUACUGGGCGUAAAGGGCACGCAGGCGGUUAAUUAAGUUGGAUGUGAAAUCCCCGGGCUUAACCUGGGAAUGGCAUUCAAGCUGGUUAGCUAGAGUCUUGUAGAGGGGGUAGAAUUCCAUGUGUAGCGGUGAAAUGCGUAGAGAUGUGGAGGAAUACCGGGUGGCGAAGGCGGCCCCUGGGACAAGACUGACGCUCAUGUGCGAAAGCGUGGGGAGCAAACAGGAUUAGAUACC